CCAAGGAGUUGAUUCCUAAAGUGGAAGAGCAGUUCCGUAAAUUUGCCAAGUCUCUGGACAUCCCUGAUGAGUACAUCAUCUUCACUGAUCCCUUGGUGAAGUGCAUUGAUUACUGACUGGCAGGGAGGCAGUGAGGCAAUGCCUGCUGUCUACACACUAUGUUCUUCCUGUUGCUUCAUCUUGAGACUUCAUUAGCAGCUACAAGGCCAGUAAAAGAGCCAGAAGACCCUUCUUUUGUUUUGGACCAGGGAUUGAACUCAGGUCCUUGUGCUUGCAAGGCAAGUGGUGGAACCACUGAGCUAAAUCCCUGGCCCAAGAAGACCCUUCUUAAAGUACAAUGCUCCCAGCCAUGUCUUGAAAUGCUACUUCACUGGUGGACCCUUUUUUGUUCAAAUA